AUGAGUGAAGACAUGAAUCAGAAAUUCUUGCCUACCGAAUACAAGCAACGCAUGCACCUCAGGUUUGCACAGUUGAAACCAGAUAAUUUGAUCCGUUGA